AACCCAUGUUGAGGAUAUUUCCACAGGAGCUCCUUGAACCUAUCUCAUAUCUCAAAAAUAUACUCUAAUUCCGUUUGUACCAAGGAGGAAAUUUCAUUCACGAGCUU